CCUACGGGUGGCAGCAGUGAGGAAUAUUGGUCACUGGGCGGAAGCCUGAACCAGCCAAGUCGCGUGAGGGAAUAAGGCCCUACGGGUCGUAAACCUCUUUUGCCGGGGAGCAAGGGCGGGGACGUGUCCCGGCCCGUAGAGUAACCGGAGAAACAGCAUCUGCUAACUCCGUGCCAGCAGCCGCGGUCAUACGGCGGAUGCGAGCGUUAUCCGGAUUUAUUGGGUUUAAAGGGAGCGUAGAUGGGUUGUUAAGUCAGUUGUGAAAGUUUGCGGCUCAACCGUAAAAUUGCAAUUGAUACUGGCAGUCUUGAGUACAGUUGAGGUAGGCGGAAUUCGUGGUGUAGCGGUGAAAUGCUUAGAUAUCACGAAGAACCCCGAUUGCGAAGGCAGCUUACUAAACUGUGACUGACAUGGAUGCUCGAAAGUGUGGGUAUCAAACAGGAUUAGAUACCCUGGUAGUC
rnacentral:rRNA from 1 species